rnacentral:rRNA from 1 species
AUUGAACGCUGGCGGCAGGCCUAACACAUGCAAGUCGAGCGAGCGGCGGACGGGUGAGUAAUGUCUGGGAAACUGCCUGAUGGAGGGGGAUAACUACUGGAAACGGUAGCUAAUACCGCAUAACAUCAGAUGUGCCCAGAUGGGAUUAGCUAGUAGGUGGGGUAAAGGCCUACCAAGCUGACGAUCUCUAGCUGGUCUGAGAGGAUGACCAGCCAAACCGUGACUGAGGGACGGCCCGAAGUCCUACGGGAGGCAGCAGUGGGGAAUAUUGCGCAAUGGGGGCAACCCUGACGCAGCCAUGCCGCGUGAAUGAAGAGGGCCUUCGGGUUGUAAAGUUCUUUCGGUAUUGAGGCGUUAAGUACAGAAGAAGCCCCGGCUAACUCCGUGCCAGCAGCCGCGGUAAUAC